rnacentral:lncRNA from 1 species
UUUUUUUUUUUUUUGCAGGUGAAAAGUGCCUCUACAGAAUAGAUUGACACGAGGACUGACAUGUCCUUGGAAGUCUUUAAAAACAUCCUACUAAAGUUUAGGAAAAGUUUCUUGUUGAAAGAAAAGAAACAAGUGAGAUGAUUCUACAAAUUUCACCAACCCUUUAAAAGUGCUGCCUAAUACCUAAAAAACAAACCAUUCACAAAUGAUAUUUACAAGAAGAGAGAGGCAUUUAUUGUAAUAUACAAAGGUUAACAACACAUUUUCACCAUAAAUUUCAGCUGUUCUUAUAGUAAUAUUCAUAAUAGUUUCAGUGAUGUCCAAUAGAUUCUUUAAAAACGCUUUUACUCUUAUUUCACAUUUAAAGAAGGUAAGACAGAAAUGUUCCUCCUCUCAAAGUAGUAACCAGACAAAAUUAAUUUGGAAGCACAAGCUUAUAUAAUGUACAUACUGAUGUCACUUUAUUAUCUACACAUCAUCACUAAAUAUAUACCUACUGAUUUCCAGAGAAGUUAUCUGUAAUUUUGAUGAUUUCCUCUUCUGUCUUCUAUGGAUAAAGUAUACAGAAGUUCUGUAUUCCUUUCUUCCUUCCCUUAAAUGAACUUGCACACUUUAAGUCUACUAAAAUUAGGUCUAUGGGUACAUUAUCAUUCAAAUAAGGUCAUAAAAUUAUGGGAAACAUACUGAUACCUCCAGAAAGAAACAAAAUUAACCACGACACUCCAUACAUCAGUGAACCUGCUUUUUAAAUAAAAACCCUACAGAAUAAAUCUCAGUAAAUCUCAACAACCUCAUAAAUGGAACAGAAAACUUGAAACCACAGGACACUCACAAAAAGAAAGGGCACUGUAUAAAACGAAAAUUAGAGUCUAUAUAUAGGGGCUAGUCAUUGAAAAUAAAACAUAAGAAAGCUUAAAUAGAAAUCAGAAAAUUAAAUUUAAAUAGAUUUUUUAAAAACAGUUAACAAGAAAAUCAAACACAUAUUUCUUUUGUUCUAAUAUUGCAAUAGUCUAUGUAUUUUUGUAAGUCAGUUUAAAUUCUUUGGGGAAGAAGCCAGACUAUCAAAAAAAAAAAGUUUAUUUUCGAACACAGGAUAGCACACUUCCAUAGUUAUUUUUUAUACAAAUAUCACAUUUUCAGUCAUACCCUGCACAUGCUUGUUAAACCUUUGGGGAUAACUACAACUUAAAGUUUUCCAAAUUAUUUCACAAGCCUCUCCAGUUUUCCUGAAGCCGCCCGGCGACAGAAACGAUUCUAACUCGCAUUAACUCUCCCUGGACCCUGUAAGUUAGGGGAGUUCGUUAUCUAAAAAGGGCAAAGAACGGGGUCGGGGUCAGGGUCAGAGUCAGGGCGGCAGUAACGCGGUGGCAGGCAUAGUUACCUCUCGGAUCAGAACACCUGAGCCGUGCAGGGGGCGGGGACGGGGGCGCCGGAGGGGCUGCAGGGUGCGUGGGCGCAGGAGCCUCGGCAGACAGCAACGAAUAGGGCCCCCGGAGAAAGUUGGGAUCCCAAGACCUCCCCGGCGACAAGGCUGUGAACGUCCCAGACAGCCUCCCCCUGCCCGCCGGCCCCGCCCGGCCCCACCGGGAGGGGAGGGCUCGGGCUACUCACCAUGCAGAGAGAGGAACAGCAAAGGCGCCAGAGGAGAGCCCCGACAAGUCAUCCCGGGGCCGCGGGGAGCGCGCCCGCCGUCCGCCCGGCUCCUCGUCGAGGCAACGGAGGCGCGGGCCGGGCUCUCGGCGCUCUCGGGGCAGUACGGACCUCCCAGAGCCACCGCCCGGCCGCAGUCCGUCCAGCGGGGCUGGGACAGUGGGGCGCGCAGACCAGGCGAGUGCAACUCCCCCCCCGCUCGACUCCGGAGGCCGAGCUGAGAGCCUGCGCGUUCCGGGCUCGCCGGACUCGCCCCGCGGCGCCACGGCCACCUCGCGCUGCCCUAGGCCCCGCCGGCCCCUAGCGCAGCCGGGGGAGCCACUCCCCCCCAACUCUA